rnacentral:rRNA from 9 species
GACGAGUGGCGGACGGGUGAGUAAUGCUUGGGAACUUGCCUUUGCGAGGGGGAUAACAGUUGGAAACGACUGCUAAUACCGCAUAAUGUCUUCGGACCAAACGGGGCUUCGGCUCCGGCGCAAAGAGAGGCCCAAGUGAGAUUAGCUAGUUGGUAAGGUAACGGCUUACCAAGGCGACGAUCUCUAGCUGUUCUGAGAGGAAGAUCAGCCACACUGGGACUGAGACACGGCCCAGACUCCUACGGGAGGCAGCAGUGGGGAAUAUUGCACAAUGGGGGAAACCCUGAUGCAGCCAUGCCGCGUGUGUGAAGAAGGCCUUCGGGUUGUAAAGCACUUUCAGUUGUGAGGAAAAGUUAGUAGUUAAUACCUGCUAGCCGUGACGUUAACAACAGAAGAAGCACCGGCUAACUCCGUGCCAGCAGCCGCGGUAAUACGGAGGGUGCGAGCGUUAAUCGGAAUUACUGGGCGUAAAGCGCACGCAGGCGGUUUGUUAAGCUAGAUGUGAAAGCCCCGGGCUCAACCUGGGAUGGUCAUUUAGAACUGGCAGACUAGAGUCUUGGAGAGGGGAGUGGAAUUCCAGGUGUAGCGGUGAAAUGCGUAGAUAUCUGGAGGAACAUCAGUGGCGAAGGCGACUCCCUGGCCAAAGACUGACGCUCAUGUGCGAAAGUGUGGGUAGCGAACAGGAUUAGAUACCCUGGUAGUCCACACCGUAAACGCUGUCUACUAGCUGUGUGUG